UACGUAGGGGGCAAGCGUUGUCCGGAUUCAUUGGGCGUAAAGAGCGUGUAGGCGGCCAGGUAGGUCGGUUGUGAAAACUGGAGGCUCAACCUUCAGAGGUCGACCGAAACCAUCUGGCUAGAGUCCGGGAGAGGAGAGUGGAAUUCCUGGUGUAGCGGUGGAAUGCGUAGAGAUCGGGAAGAAUACCUGUGGCGAAGGCGGCCAGCUGGGCCAGAUCCGACACUGAGGCGCGAAAGCGUGGGGAGCAAACAGG
rnacentral:rRNA from 1 species